ensembl:lncRNA
GCUAAAAGCUGGAACCUUCUCAGUUGCCGCAGCGACCCAGGCCUGACAGUCUAUAAAUGGACCAAUGCUAAGACCAGGGUCAUGUGAAGUUGGCUGAAACUGGGAGGGACGACCUGGACUGAAGAGCGUCUGCUAAAUCAAUUACCUGCCCUGCACAGAAUACCAUUGUUCCCCGGUCAACCGGGGCUCCCCUCCUUGACUCACCAUAUGGCUUUGGCUAAAGAUGGCGUCAUCAGGAUCAGGGCAUGGACGCCUUGCAGACAGUGUUUUCUCUCUUCACACCUGUGUUAAUUUAUGGUGUAGCCUCUCGUUUGAUCAACACAGAGAGACAAAGGCCAAACAAAGCUCUCAGGUACAGAGGCGAUGACUGUGUUUGAUGUUGCAGCUCUGGGCCAUUGUUUAAAGAAGAUGGAUUACCUAUGUUCCAUUCAUGAACA